UACCAUGGUUUUAACGGGUAACGGGGAAUUAGGGUUCGAUUCCGGAGAGGGAGCCUGAGAAACGGCUACCACAUCCAAGGAAGGCAGCAGGCGCGCAAAUUACCCAAUCCCGACACGGGGAGGUAGUGACAAUAAAUAACAAUAUGGGGCUCUUACGAGUCUUGUAAUUGGAAUGAGUACAAUUUAAAUCUCUUAACGAGGAACAAUUGGAGGGCAAGUCUGGUGCCAGCAGCCGCGGUAAUUCCAGCUCCAAUAGCGUAUAUUAAAGUUGUUGCAGUUAAAAAGCUCGUAGUUGAAUUUCGGGGUUCAUACGUUGGUCGGGCUUUUUGGUCUGUACUAGCGUAAUGGAUCCCUACCUUCUGAAUAACCGGCAUGUCAUUAAUUUGGUGCGCCGGGGAAGCAGGACUGUUACCUUGAAAAAAUUAGAGUGCUUAAAGCAGGCUAUCGCCUGAAUACAUUAGCAUGGAAUAAUGAAAUAGGACGGCAUGGUUCUAUUUUGUUGGUUUCUAGGAUCACCGUAAUGAUUAAUAGGGAUAGUUGGGGGCAUUAGUAUUCAAUUGUCAGAGGUGAAAUUCUUGGAUUUAUUGAAGACUAACUUCUGCGAAAGCAUUUGCCAAGGAUGUUUUCAUUAAUCAAGAACGAAAGUUAGGGGAUCGAAGACGAUCAGAUACCGUCGUAGUCUUAACCAUAAACUAUGCCGACUAGGGAUCGGACGAUGUUAAUUUUUUAAUGACUCGUUCGGCGCCUUACGGGAAACCAAAGUGUUU
rnacentral:rRNA from 1 species